ACAUACCUCUGAUCAGGAAGCCGGGGGAGCUACUAGGCCGUGGCCCAAACGUACCGUUGCGGAUUCGACUCACGGUUCUCUACCAGGUUUCAUCCAUAUCCUUUGAUGAAUCCUCUCUGGCAUCUUCAGCAUCCAUGGCAACAAUGAAUCACAUAAGCCAAUAUCAUACCAUGAAGAGCUGGCAAGGACUUCAAGCCCGGGAGGUAGCAUCUCAAAUAACCCUGAGAGAACUGCUCCAAGGA